UUAUCGUAUCGCUUCGUCUCUCGGAGGUGUCCUAAGUGGUCAUGUAUACCUAGGUCACAUCCCAAAUUCAGGUGCCUCUUGUCCAGACGGCGUCUUCAAGUACAACUCCGAUGGACAAAGAGGUACACCCCUUAGAUUUAUUGAACAUUCUUGUAGAGUACAACCACCUCGCAUCUAUGAAAACCAAGACAUUAACAUCCAGUUCGUUGGUUCGAGGAAUUGUGAUAAUUUUAUAAAUUGGAAAGUGGGAGAAUACAAUGCAACACUAGAGGCAAGUUUGUUUGGGACUCGUGGAGGAACGAUAGGAAGAGCAGAUAGUAGUUGGUU